rnacentral:tRNA from 2 species
CGCGAGUUAGAGUUCUGGUGAACUCAGGGGGCUCAUAACCCUCGGCAAAUUGCCUAGAUUGGUUCGAUUCCAAUACUCGCUACCA